AACGAACGCUGGCGGCAGGCCUAACACAUGCAAGUCGAACGCCCCGCAAGGGGAGUGGCAGACGGGUGAGUGACACGUGGGAACCUUCCCAACAGUACGGAAUAGCCCAGGGAAACUUGGAGUAAUACCGUAUAUUCCCGAGAGGGGAAAGAUUUAUCGCUGUUGGAUGGGCCCGCGUCGGAUUAGCUAGUUGGUGAGGUAACGGCUCACCAAGGCGACGAUCCGUAGCUGGUUUGAGAGAAUGACCAGCCACACUGGGACUGAGACACGGCCCAGACUCCUACGGGAGGCAGCAGUGGGGAAUCUUGGACAAUGGGCGCAAGCCUGAUCCAGCCAUGCCGCGUGAGUGACGAAGGCCUUAGGGUUGUAAAGCUCUUUUGCCGGGGACGAUAAUGACGGUACCCGGAGAAUAAGUCCCGGCUAACUUCGUGCCAGCCGCCGCCGUAAAAC
rnacentral:rRNA from 1 species